rnacentral:snRNA from 1 species
GGAUGUUAAGGCCAUCUGACUACCACAUCUGUCACUCCAUUGAUCGCCAGGGUUGAUUCGGCUGAUCCGGAUGGGUAGGCAGGUGUCCCCUCCCUCCCUCACUGCUCCAUGUGCGUCCCUUCCGAAGCUGCAUACUCAGUUGACAAGAACAACCUUCCCCUCUAGAGGAGGACCGGUCUUCGGUCAAGGGUAUACGAGUAGCUGCGCUCCCCUUCUAGAACCUCCAAACAAGCUCUCAAGAAAGGGGAUAUAAAAACACAUGAUGCUGUGAGAACAAGUAAUGCAGUCCUAAUAGUUUAGGUUU